rnacentral:rRNA from 1 species
AUUGAACGCUGGCGGCAUGCCUUACACAUGCAAGUCGAACGGUAACAGGUCUUCGGAUGCUGACGAGUGGCGAACGGGUGAGUAAUACAUCGGAACGUGCCUAGUAGUGGGGGAUAACUACUCGAAAGAGUGGCUAAUACCGCAUGAGAUCUACGGAUGAAAGCAGGGGAUCGCAAGACCUUGUGCUACUAGAGCGGCCGAAGGCAGAUUAGGUAGUUGGUGGGAUAAAAGCUUACCAAGCCGACGGUCUGUAGCUGGUCUGAGAGGACGAUCAGCCACACUGGGACUGAGACACGGCCCAGACUCCUACGGGAGGCAGCAGUGGGGAAUUUUGGACAAUGGGCGAAAGCCUGAUCCAGCAAUGCCGCGUGCAGGAUGAAGGCCUUCGGGUUGUAAACUGCUUUUGUACGGAACGAAAAGCCCCGGGUUAAUACCCUGGGGUCAUGACGGUACCGUAAGGAUAAGCACCGGCUAACUACGUGCCAGCCGCCGCGGUAA